ensembl:lncRNA
CCAGAUAGGACACCUGGAUCAAAUGACUACUAGACCCUUUGGAUGAGUUUCUGUGUACUCAUCUCAUUGCUGGUAUCUAGGCAUCGACCUAGUGCACUUUGCCCCGUGUUUGCGCCAUAUGGCCGCUUUUGAAAGGCCUCCCACUGUAGCUGUAAAUAUACACGGAACGACGGAGGAUCAUUCGGCAGACGUGUACAUCCUUGUGCUUUGAGCUGCUUGACUGCCACGUCCUGGUUCACAGGCUGCAGGUUAGGAUGUUCUGUCCAGGAAAUAUGAAGAGGAACGUGUUGGGUUUCCAGUCGUGCUCUCCCGUGAACGCCGUUGGACCCACUGGGACUGAUGGUAUUUCGCCAGAACCAGAUCUCGAGCUGAGAACAACGGCUCAGAUGGCUCCCAGCCCCCGAGUGCCGAUGAUGCUCAAAGUGCUCAGAGAGCGAGCUGGGGUCAAGCGUCAUAUUCAGAAGUAGGCGGCGACGAGUUUCUCCAAUCAACAUCUGCUCAGAGACCCGGCCUAGAGCUCCCCGGCUUUCCAAAACUCCCACCGCUAGCUCUCCAAACAUCGCUCGUACUAGACGCCGUUCCAUUAAGCGUUCCAGUCGAUCUUCCGAGACACCCCUCAACGCCGACCAGACGAAAGAAUAACCAUUGCAGGAACACCACGACGUAACAAGGAAAACCCCUCAACAGACAAGCAAUACCCCAG